CCUACGGGUGGCAGCAGUGGGGAAUAUUGGACAAUGGGCGAAAGCCUGAUCCAGCCAUGCCGCGUGUGUGAAGAAGGCCUUCGGGUUGUAAAGCACUUUCAGUGGGGAAGAAAGCCUUGGGGCUAAUACCCUCGAGGAAGGACAUCACCCACAGAAGAAGCACCGGCUAACUCCGUGCCAGCAGCCGCGGUAAUACGGAGGGUGCGAGCGUUAAUCGGAAUUACUGGGCGUAAAGCGCGCGUAGGCGGUCUGAUAAGCCGGUUGUGAAAGCCCCGGGCUCAACCUGGGAACGGCAUCCGGAACUGUCAGGCUAGAGUGCAGGAGAGGAAGGUGGAAUUCCCGGUGUAGCGGUGAAAUGCGUAGAGAUCGGGAGGAAUACCAGUGGCGAAGGCGGCCUUCUGGACUGACACUGACGCUGAGGUGCGAAAGCGUGGGUAGCAAACAGGAUUAGAUACCCUCAGUAGUC
rnacentral:rRNA from 1 species